GAUGAACGCUGGCGGCGUGCCUAAUACAUGCAAGUCGAGCGAACAGAUGAGGAGCUUGCUCCUCUGACGUUAGCGGCGGACGGGUGAGUAACACGUGGAUAACCUACCUAUAAGACUGGGAUAACUUCGGGAAACCGGAGCUAAUACCGGAUAAUAUAUUGAACCGCAUGGUUCAAUAGUGAAAGACGGUUUUGCUGUCACUUAUAGAUGGAUCCGCGCCGCAUUAGCUAGUUGGUAAGGUAACGGCUUACCAAGGCAACGAUGCGUAGCCGACCUGAGAGGGUGAGCGGCCACACUGGAACUGAGACACGGUCCAGACUCCUACGGGAGGCAGCAGUAGGGAAUCUUCCGCAAUGGGCGAAAGCCUGACGGAGCAACGCCGCGUGAGUGAUGAAGGUCUUCGGAUCGUAAAACUCUGUUAUUAGGGAAGAACAAAUGUGUAAGUAACUAUGCACGUCUUGACGGUACCUAAUCAGAAAGCCACGGCUAACUACGUG
rnacentral:rRNA from 1 species